rnacentral:rRNA from 1 species
CUACGUAGGGUGCAAGCGUUAAUCGGAAUUACUGGGCGUAAAGCGUGCGCAGGCGGUUUUGUAAGACAGUGGUGAAAUCCCCGGGCUCAACCUGGGAACUGCCAUUGUGACUGCAAGGCUGGAGUGCGGCAGAGGGGGAUGGAAUUCCGCGUGUAGCAGUGAAAUGCGUAGAUAUGCGGAGGAACACCGAUGGCGAAGGCAAUCCCCUGGGCCUGCACUGACGCUCAUGCACGAAAGCGUGGGGAGCAAACAGGAUUAGAUACCCUGGUAGUCCACGCCCUAAACGAUGUCAACUGGUUGUUGGGGAUUUAUUUUCUCAGUAACGAAGCUAACGCGUGAAGUUGACCGCCUGGGGAGUACGGCCGCAAGGUUAAAACUCAAAGGAAUUGACGGGG